rnacentral:lncRNA from 1 species
UUGCUGGUCGGUGUUACAUUGACUUCUUCGUGUCCUACUCCGUGCUCAGAGGAUCCUGGGGAUGCUGUGAUUUUCAGGCAAAGCCAGCUCUCUUGCUGCCAAUGAUCAGAAAACAUCAGACAAACUGCCAGCACAUCUGGGCCUCUGCCCAAGCAUCUGGCUGCACACUUCCCUAACCGUGUACCUUCAGCCGCAUUUCAGAUUGGCCUUGGCUGUGAACCCUGCACCCCAUACUCCAGGUCAAGACUGGUGAGGAGAAAGGUCAAGGGGGGAGACUCCUGUGAAUGCAUUAAAGCCAGAAAGAAUGUGAUUUGUUAACCGGAAAACAUUCUGUUUACCUCUGUGUGUAGCCGUGUGUGCAUUUUGUCCACCCGAAGUGCUCUUUGCCCUUGUCUCUGCCGGUCCAAGCCCCUCGCCAAACCCCUGCAGAACUGCGUGAGAAUUCACAGCCUCCAGCCGACAGACGUCCACGUCUCUGCCCUAGCUCCUGCAUGUCUCCGCCACCCUACAGGAGGGAAUGUGGAUGCGUGGAGAGAAAGCGGGGAUCACAGGUGAUGUCGUGUGCUGGUCAAGGAAACAUGCAGAGCAUACGAUUUUCGGCCGUCACUUGGGACGACAGGAGACAGGUGGAGAGUGGGUCAGAGGGCAAAUUACAAGUUCCCUGCUGCUCAGCCAAUUUUCGAGAGAACAUCCUCAAAAAAAGCAAAAGACAUUCUGUCUUUAUGGUCAUGAAACAAGGAGGGAAACCUCUGUUUUUAUCCAUAAACUUCUCCUUUGGACUAAAAAAAUGUGCUAAACUUGCUCUGUCCUCAAAUGGAAAGUAACACAAACAAAAUCGAGACAAUUAAGGAGGGCACGUAUUGCAUGGAGCACUGGGUGUUAUACGCAAACAAUGAAUCAUGGAACUUUACAUCAAAAACUAGGGAUGUACUGUAUGGUGACUAACAUAACGUAAUAAAAAAU